UUCACCAUUCAUAUCCAAUUCCCCCACGCUGACUUCCUUUCGUGGGAUGAAGUCCAGAGUUAUGCUGCUUUUAAUUGGGAGAAGGAGAUGAAGUCCGAAAGAGGUUUAAAUGAAGUCAUGAAGAAUUUUUCCUGGGGAAUGAAGUUGGCGUGCAAGACUCCAGACAUGCUGCAACACCAAAACAAAAUGCCAAAACAGGUUUCAGAAAAUUCAUCGGGCAUUGUGAGCACCAGACCUUGUUCAUCACUCAGUGAGGUUCCAACUUACAUCCAGUCCAGGCCAAGGCACCGGGGGGAAAACUGAUGAGUUCUGGUGAGAGCCAGACCAGGCAGCUCGGUGACUCAUAUUUGGCCCAUUUUCCUCUUCUACGCUCCACUUUGUAGGAAGUGUUGUGUAGACUCAAGCUCUAUAACCCAGUCUCAAUGCAUUCACUCUCUCGGCUCCUCCGUUGUGACUAAUACAUUUCGUAGUUGGCUUCAGAUCCUGAGCCAACAAGCAUCUCACGUGGAUUCCUGGUCAGCCGUGGGGACGGGGGGGGGGGUAUUUGGAGUGAUGGAGCCUGUUAUAAUUUCGAUCACUCAUGAUGUAUUGUCUGUGUUCUAGUUCAAUUUGCUUGUCAACAAUAUAUCUAAACAUUGUGUUGCAAACUAAAUAGAAUGCCUUUUCAGGCCCUCUUCAGAAAAGUUAUGAUUUUUGGCGUAUCAUUUGUAAAAAUAUUCAAAUUCACACCAUCUGAAAUUGAAUUCACAAUGGAAGCAUAUUUACAAUGAGUGUACAGCUGUUGCAGAUACAAGAGGGUUGUGCUAUGGAGAUCACUAUUUAUAUUAAUAGUGAAACAUGCAUGAUUAUAAAAAAAUCAACUAUAAUGAUCAACAGAAUGUGUAUAGUUAAAAGUUUGGACGUUAUGUCGAAGUCUUUGUGUUGUGAUAAAAACGUUGUCCAAACCCAUGUCCAACUUGCUCAAGCGCAGAUGGGUAGCAAAUAGGAAGCCACCACGCUGGAAAAAUGUUCUAGCUGGAAGUUGCAGAUUCAAAGAAAAUGAAUACAAAAUAAUAACACAUGCAUGGGAUGAACAGUGCAUACAUACAGAAAGUACAUAAAUACAGAACCUAAGAUGUAUAUUUUCAUGCAAUAUAUCUCUCCUUUGCCUGCCCUUUCUGUACACGUGGGGUCUAGGGUCCUGUGACAUGUGCAUAUUCUUACCUUGCAUGUUUUUUUCUAAUUGUUUUGUACAUGGAAACCCAAUUGACGGCAUUCCUCCACCCUUCCUUCAUCAGGCCCUAGCAACGUGUUUGCUUUAUACAAGUCACAUCUUUAGAAAAGUGCUGUGCUGACAAACCAAAGCACUUGCAUGAUUUAUAAUUCAGACAAAUGGAGAAACCGUUUUUUUUUUUUUAUUAGUCUUAUCAGAACAUUUCUCAGGCCUUUAAAGAGGAGUGGGGUGGGCCAAGGACUACCGAAGAGCAGACGAGAGAGGGGAAGCACAGGCCUUCAAAAAAAUUAUCUGCUGGUGAACCUCUUUUCAGCCAGAGCUCGAAGAGCAAACAUGCUUGGAAUACCACAUCCGUCAAGCGGAUUGGUUGGUGCAAUAUGGUACACAGCAUGAUUUAAAGCAAAGCAUGUGAACUGUACCGAAAACAAGAAUCCAACACAUUCCCAAAGCCCUUGAGAGCCAACUAAGUUCUGCAACCUUUCAAUUGAAAAUAAUAAAUAAAAUCAUUUCCUUUUUUUGAUAAAGAUGUAAUUUACUAAACACACACCUCAGUGAAAUACCUUUUGGAUUAUGAGGAAUUGCUUAAAGCUCCAUUACAGUUUUUCUCGAUUGUAUACACAAACAAAAAUGGAACUAUGCACACAAUUCUGAAAAGCUCAUAUAUCAACUACAAGACUCCAGAAUGCUAAACUCUAGGCACAAUUCCACUCUUGUCACAUUUUUGCUAAACUCUAAGCACAAAUCUCAUCAUUUAGCACACUUGGUUCAUCUGGAUCACACUGGCCUUCAAAACACAACAACUAAUUACCAAUAAGCCUCACUUCUCACCUUUUCAAACUCAACAGGCAAAACCAUUAAAUCAUGUGUCAGAGCAUAAAAGAGGACUCGGUGAGCUCUUCUGUGUUGUAGAUAUGGUCCUUUGGCCUGAUCAGG